UACGUAGGGAGCAAGCGUUGUCCGGAAUCAUUGGGCGUAAAGCGCGCGUAGGCGGCCCUGUAAGUCCGUUGUGAAAGUCAAAGGCUCAACCUUUGAAAGCCGAUGGAUACUGCAGGGCUAGAGUCCGGAAGAGGCGAGUGGAAUUCCUGGUGUAGCGGUGGAAUGCGCAGAUAUCAGGAGGAACACCAAUAGCGAAGGCAGCUCGCU
rnacentral:rRNA from 1 species